UACGUAGGGUGCAAGCGUUGUCCGUAAUUAUUGGGCGUAAAGAGCUCGUAGGCGGUUUGUCGCGUCGGCUGUGAAAACUCGGGGCUCAACCCCGAGCCUGCAGUCGAUACGGGCAGACUAGAGUGCUGUAGGGGAGACUGGAAUUCCUGGUGUAGCGGUGAAAUGCGCAGAUAUCAGGAGGAACACCGGUGGCGAAGGCGGGUCUCUGGGCAGUAACUGACGCUGAGGAGCGAAAGCGUGGGGAGCGAACAGG
rnacentral:rRNA from 1 species